GAUGCAUCAUCAAUUCAUCAUCUUCUCCAAGCCUGCUGGCUCCAGAGCUCACACAGUCUUCGACAGAGGGGAAAGAUCAAGAUGGAGGCGGCGAUCUCCACCAAUCCGUCGAGCAAGAGGACCGCCCUGGUCACCGGAGGGAACAAAGGGGUCGGGCUGGAGACGUGCAGGCAGCUCGCGUCCAAGGGGCUCAGGGUCGUGCUGACGGCUAGGAACGAGGCCAGGGGGCUGGAGGCGGUCGAAGGCGUCAGGCGCUCCGGUGCUGGCGGCCAAGCCGAUGUAGUCUUCCAUCAGUUGGAUGUCACCGAUCCUGACAGCGUCACCCGGCUGGCGGAUUUCGUCAGGGAUCAGUUCGGCAAGCUCGAUAUCCUGAUAAACAAUGCAGGCAUUUCAGGCGUUGAUCGAGAUCCAGUUCUGGUUGCGAAAGUUAAAGAACAGGUUGAAAGUAUGGAUGUAGACCAGAGAGUUCAAUGGAUGAAAGAAAAUUCCAAGGAGACAUAUGAGGAAGCAAAAGAAUGCAUGAGAACAAACUACUAUGGGGCAAAGCUUGUCACAGAGGCACUACUUCCUCUUCUUCAGUUGUCCUCCUCUGGGAGAAUUGUCAAUGUCUCAUCAGGCUUUUCACUGCUAAGAAACUUCAACAGUGAAGAACUUAAGAAUGAGUUUAAUGACGUCGACAAUCUUACUGAGAAGAGGCUAGAAGAGCUCUUGGAUUCAUUCCUAGAAGAUUUCAAGGCCAAUUUGAUAGAGGCACAUGGGUGGCCGACCGGUGGCUCGUCAGCGUACAAGGUCGCCAAAGCUGCCCUCAAUGCUUACACAAGGAUUCUCGCCAAGAAGUACCCUAGGAUGCGCAUCAACUGUUUAACGCCUGGUUAUGUGAAGAGCGACAUGUCGAUGCACAUGGGAGUGUUGACGCCCGAGGAGGGCGCUAGCAAUCCGGUGAAAGUCGCUCUCUUGCCCGACGAUGGCCCGACGGGAAUCUCAUCGACUGCGGUUGCUAGGGUCUCCGUGGUCACCGGAGGGAACAAAGGGAUCGGCUUCGAGGUGUGCCGGCAGCUGGCCAGCGGCGGCAUCACGGUCGUCUUGACGGCCCGGGACGAGACGAGGGGCGGGGAUGCCGUGGAGAGGCUCAACGCGCUGGGGCUCUCCCAGGUCGUCUUCCAUCGGCUGGAGAUCACGGAAGCUUCGAGCGCUGCUGCACUGGCUGGUUUUCUCAAGACCCGCUUUGGCAAGCUAGACAUUCUGGCAAGUUUGGAACACCGGUGAUGGAUGGAUGGAUGGAUGUGCUCGGUUUAUUUGCAGGUGAAUAAUGCCGCAGUUGGUGGGGUUGAGUACGGCCAAGAGCUCGACGCCAACGAGGAAAAGUUCGAUGGCCUGGAUUUCCACCAGAGAGUUGAAUGGAUGCUGAAGAACGCCCGGGAGCCCAUCGACAGUGCGAAGAACAGCGUGCAGACCAACUACUACGGCACGAAGCGUGUAACCGAGGCCCUGCUCCCUCUGCUGCGAUCUUCCCCCGAUGGAAGAAUAGUGAACGUCUCCUCCAGUUAUGGACUGCUAAGACAUAUCGGCAGCGAGGAGGUGCGGCAGGAGCUCAACGACGUCGAUGGCCUGACAGAGGAGAGGCUGGACGAGCUGCUGGAGAAGUUCAUGGAAGACUUCGAGUCCGGCGCGCUGGAGCCGCACGGGUGGCCCGGGAAGUUCUCCGCGUACAAGGUGGCCAAGGCCGCCAUGAACGCCUACUCGAGGAUCCUGGCGAGGAGGCACCCCGAGCUGCGCGUCAACUGCGCGCACCCAGGCUUCGUCAAGACCGACAUGAGCAUGGGGUCCGGGGUCCUGACGCCGGAGGAGGGCGCACGCAGCUUGGUGAAGGUGGCGCUGCUGCCUGACGGCGGGCCGACCGGCGCGUACUUCGCGCAGGGCGAGGAGGCGCCGUUCGUGUGAGAUAGCCGCGGUACGUGCGUGCCUGCGUGUGUGUUGCGCGCAAAAAUGCUACAAGUACGGACGUUUACAGGCUAAUUACGGGCUCCUUCCAUCUAAUUAAACCAGACCCCCCUGAUUUCAGGUGGGUGGGACCCAAACCUACCCCUUAGUCCAAUCACUGUUUGACACAUUGAGUCCACCCCCGUAUUAUCCUGUACAGUUUCGUCGAUGUAGCAUUGCUGGUGUUGCGCGGCUCGGUGCGGUACGGGUACUAUCAGGUUUACGGUGUUACAUGCUAGCUUCAAAUUGCGAAUAACGGAAAAUAUAUACGGACAUGAUCAAGUGCGAACGUCAGUUUUU